CCAUUUUUUCCCUUUUCCACUUUUUUCUUCUUUUCUUCCUUUCUCUGUAUUCUCUCGGCUCUCUCCCUCCGAAACUCUCCCUCCACUUCUCUCCUUGAUUUCAUCUACUUAGGGGGCGAUUCCGAACAAAGUCCAAGAAUUAAAGUUGUUAUAUGGAGCGCGGGCUUCCUAUCCAUCCAAGAAAAAUUACGAUUGGGCCUCGUGGGAGCUCGGUUGACUUGGUCAAAGGGUUGGGUUUUGCUCAAAACCCAUGAGGUAUGAUUCAAGGAUGUUGGCAUGGAGUGCUCGUUGUGCAUUUGUGACCAAACCUUUAAAAGGUAUUCAAGAAGGAUUUCAUAGCACAAGAUUUGAAAGAGCAUUUUUAGAAAAGAUGUUAUUUGUAAAUUGUAAUAAUAUUUCCGUAGAAUACUGGUAUUUUGAUGAUUUGGGGCCCUCAAGUUGGAAAUGAAAUAUUUGAAUUUUAUUUGAGAACA